UACGUAGGUGGCGAGCGUUGUCCGGAUUUACUGGGCGUAAAGGGAGCGUAGGCGGACUUUUAAGUGAGAUGUGAAAUACUCGGGCUCAACUUGAGUGCUGCAUUUCAAACUGGAAGUCUAGAGUGCGAGAGAGGAGAAUGGAAUUCCUAGUGUAGCGGUGAAAUGCGUAGAGAUUAGGAAGAACACCAGUGGCGAAGGCGAUUCUCUGGACUGUAACUGACGCUGAGGCUCGAAAGCGUGGGGAGCAAACAGG
rnacentral:rRNA from 1 species